rnacentral:lncRNA from 10 species
UUCUGGGACACAGUAUUCAUGACUCCACAAGAUCCAGGCAGAAUCCAGUCAACUUGCCAUCAGCAGUGAUCAUUUCAAGAAUGUACUCUGGAAUUGGCUUUCCCUUCUUCCCUGUUUCCCUCUGACUGGUAUGACACUCCUCUUCCCUGAAAAUAUUUCUGAAAAUAAUCUACCUGCCUAUUAGAAGGUACAGCUUGGACUUUAUUUCAAGAUGGAUACUUUUACUAUGACAUUCUCCCUGAUGAUCUCAAUGGAAAGCAAUCACUUCUUUUUUCUUAUCUAUUGCAGUAGGUAUUUUAUGUUAUUUUUAUUAUGCCUCUUUGUACU